UUCUUCGUCCCAACUCCUAUGAGGUUUGUUCAACUUCAUGGUUAUUUUCCACCACUUUAUGUAUCCAAAUCAAGCUUCUUACAAAGUUAUUCGUCCUGGUUUGAUUGGAACGACAAAGAAGUUGUUGUAUUCCCAAACUGGGAAACUAGAAUCACCUUAUUAGAAAGUUGGAUAACUUUUUCAUCCCAACUCCUAUGAGACUUUUUCAACUUCCUGGUGCUUGUCCACCACUUUAUGUAACCAAAUCAAGCCUCUUACAAAGUGAUUCAUUUUUGUUUGAUUGAAACGACGAAUAAGUUGUCUUAUUUCCAGACUGGAAAACUGGAAUCACCUGAUUUGAAAGUGGGAUAAUUUUUUCAUCCCAACUCCUAUGAGAUUUUUUCAACUUGCUGGUGCUUCUACUCCACUUUAUGUAUCCAAAUCAAGCUUCUUACAAAGUGAUUCAUCCAGAUUUAACUGGAACGACGACAAAAUUAUCGUAUUUCCAAACUGAGAAAUUAGAAUCACCUGAUUUCAAAGUGGGAUAACUUGUUCAUCCCAACUCCUAUUAGAAUUAUUCAACUUCCGGGUGAUUCUCCACCACUUUAUGUAUCAAAAUCAAGAUUCUUACAAAUUAAUUCAUCGUGGCUGAAUUUGAACGACGAAGAAGUUGUCUUAUUCCCAAACUCGGAAACUUGAAUCACCUGAUUUAAAAGUGGGAUAACUUCUUCAUCCCAAUUCCUAUGAGGUUUGUUCAACUUCCUGGUCAUUCUCCACCACUUCAUGUAUCCAAAUCAAGAUGCUUACAAAGUGAUUUUACCUGGUUUGAUUGGAACGACGAAGAAGUUGUCUUAUUCCCAAACUAUGAAACUGGAAUCACCGGAUUUGAAAGUGGGAUAACUUUUUCAUCCUAACUCCUAUAAGGUUUUUUCAACUUCCUGUUGAUUCUCCACCACUUUAUGUAUCCAAAUCAAGCUGCUUACAAAAUGAUGCAUCCUGGUUUGAUUGGAACGACGAAGAAGUUGUCUUAUUCCCAAACUGGGAAACUGGAAUCAACUGAUUUGAAAGUGGGAUAACUCUUUCUUCCCAACUCCUAUGAGAUUUAUUCAACUUCCUGGUGAUUCUACACCACUUUAUGUAUCCAAAUGAAGCUUCUUACAAAGUGAUUCAUCCUGGUUGAAUUGGAACGACGAAGAAGUUGUCGUAUUCCCAAAAUGGGAAACUGGAAUCACCUGAUAUGAAAGUAGGAUAACUUCUUCAUCCCAACUCCUAUGAGAUUUUUUCAACUUCCUGGUGCUUCUCCACCACUUUUGUAUCCGAAACAGGCUACUUACAAAGUGAUUCAUCCUGGUUUGAUUGGAACGACAAAGAAGUUGUCUUAUUCCUAAACUGGGAAACUGAAAUCACUUGAUUUGAAAGUGGGAUAACUUCUUCAUCCUAACUGUUGAGAUGAAGACCAAGUAGUGAAGGUAUGAAGCUUUAGGGUUCAAUGAAGUGAGAAAGUAACUUUGGAGUUUUUACCACAUUAACUUUUGAGUUUCACCAUUUCUGGAUAAAGGUAACUACGUUAAAGCUUGUGAAGUUACUUUGCAUCCAUUUGGAGAGGAAAAACAUCCAAGGGAAUUUGGAGAAGAUAAGGGGCACGUGGACAUGCUGUCUUGAGCUGGAAAGGAGAAUAUACUUUAUUACUGUAGAAAGCAUGUGUGAAACUAUAACCAAGCAUUUCAAAAGGACUUCCAGCAUGUCCAUUGACUCCCACAUGCUUAUGGAUUUCGAAAUCCCCUUUGUAUCUGCCUUAUCUCUUCAUAUAUAAUUUGUAUCUAAGACAUUAAAUUAAUUAGUGGAGUUUUGAAUAUUCUCUUUGUUCUCUCUCUACUUAUUCUCUUAAUCUCUUUAAUCUUACACAAAACAGUCUGAUUGUUCUUAAAUUUGUUUAAACACACUCUAAUACACAAAAGUGUAUAUGGUAUCAGAGCCAGGUUGCUAAAAGGGUGGGAGUGUGUUAAUCUUGUUUUAAAAAAUAUAGGUUUGUGUUCUUGGUGUUCUUGAGCUGUUCUUGAUGUUCUUGAGUGUUCAUGAUGGUUUUGAGCUCUGUUCUUCAUUUUCUGGGUUUGAUUGAGUUCAUCUGAUGGAAUCAAACGACUCUAGCAAAGAAAAGAAGACCAGAUCAAUUUAUCAAGUGAAGAAAGAAAGAGAAAACGAGUGGAUCUGGUCAGAUUUGAUGAAGACAACUUUGGAAAGCUGUGGGAUUUGGAGUAAUCAGAUAAAGGAUGAACCUUUAAAGGAGUUGGUUAUUUUUGAAGAUGAAGCUGUUCAAGAAAACACUAGAAAGAGUGGGAUUGAAGCAGCUUAUGAAGAAAGGUCCAAACUUGUGAAGGUCAGUGAAGACAAGAGGGUGAUAUGUGACUGGAAACAAGGAAAGGAUGAGCUUUAUCAGCUUGUGAGAAGGCUGAAAGAAGUGUGGGUGGAGCUUACAGCAAAGCCAGAGGUAAUUGAAGAAAGGAGAGGACAAGAUGUUAUCUUUAACUUUAUUGUGAAUGAGAUAUUUGAGCUUGUUCAAUACACUUGUGAUGUGUGUGUGAAGAACAAGAAAUCAAUUCAGUGGAAGGGUGGUACAAACUGUAAGAAGGGAAGGUAGAAAACUUUCCAAGGUAUGGUUCAUGAGGAGAAAGGCUUGGAGGAAGAACAGAGAGUCUGGUUAUGUGAGUGACGAGAUGAACUUAAAGAUGAUCAAGGAGGCUGCACAACAAGUGGUGAGAUGAGAGUGUUCUUACUCAGGCUAAAUGGGGGAAUCAGUAGAAGACAGUGUGGUGUUAAGAGAGCAGGAAAAUGAGGGUGGAGCUGAUGAUUGCAUCACCAUGAAGGAAUGGUGAGUGUUCAUGGAACAUGGACAAGCUUUAGCAGCAAGCAAGACACAUGGUGUACAAUCCGGAGCUCCUAAACCCUGUGUAAUUGAUUCUGGAGCAAGCCAUCAUAUGAUCAGUGAUAGGAGGAUUAUAAGUGAAAUCAAGGCUGCAACAUGGAGUGUUAUGAUAGCUAAUGGUGCUAUGAUCCCAAUAGAAGGAGUGGGAAAGCUCAAACUGUUUGAGAAGGACAAGACUGCCUUCUACAUGCCCCGGUUCACUUCAAAUCUGUUAUCGGUGAAGAAAACUACCAUUCAUCUCGAUUGUCAAGUAUUAUUCAGACCUGAUGAAGUUGAAUUUCAAGAUUUGAAGACUGGGAGAGUUAUUGGCAUAGGAGACAGCAAGAAUCAGCUAUACCAUCUUCAAAUGGCUAAGAAUUCUAAACCCUUUGAUUCUGUGUGCUUGAGUAGUGUUGUUGAUAGGUGUGAUAGUAUGACUUGUAAGUGAUUCAUGAUGGUUCGAUUGGAACGACGAAGAAGUUGUCUUAUUCCCAAACUGGGAAACUGGAACCACCUGAUUUGAAAGUGGGAUAACUUCGUCUUCGCAACUCCUAUGAGAUUUUUUCAACUUCCUUGUGAUUCUCCACCACUUUAUGUAUCCAAACCAAGCUUCUUACAAAGUGAUUCAUCCUGGUUCGAUUGGAAGACGAAGAAGUUGUCAUAUUCCCAAACUGGGAAACUGGAAUCCCCUGAUUUGAAAGUAGGAUAACUUCUUCUUCCCAACUCCUAUGAGAUUUAUUCAACUUCCUGGUGAUUCUCCACCAGUUUAUGUAUCUAAAUCAAGAUUCUUACAAAUUGAUACAUCAUGGUUGAAUUUGAACAACGAAGAAGUUGUCUUAUUCCCAAACUGGAAAACUGGAAUCACCUGCUUUGAAAGUGGGAUAACUUCUAAAUCCCAACUCCUAUGAGAUUUGUUCAACUUCAUAGUUAUUCUCCACCAUUUUAUGUAUCCAAAUCAAGCUUUUUACAAAGUGAUUCAUCAUGGUUUGAUUGGAACGACGAAGAAGUUGUUGUAUUCCCAAACUAGGAAACUAGAAUCACCUGAUUAGAAAGUGAGAUAACUUUUUCAUCCCAACUCCUAUUGUUAAACAAUAUGAAUGAGAUGAGGCAGGCUUGUGUUAUUAGAUAUAAGAGUGUUGAAGAAUGCAGAAGACAAGAGAGGAUGAGUUCGGGACGGUCGUACGACCAGGCCGAACAAGAGACCGUACCAUGGUAACUUUUGGAUCGACCAAAGUUAACUUGGAUCGUCCAUAAGUUACCCGGUUGAAGAGUAACUCGGCUUACCUUACCUUGGAGGCUCUUAUCUACAAUAAGACCGUUGGAUCAGAUGGAUAUGGCGUGGCUACAGCUAAGGACAGCCUGUAAAUUAAAAGCAAAAGGUGUCCAAGCAUGUGGCUAAUCCCAUUGGUUAUUUUUCCUAUAGUCUCUCAUCUUAUCCUUGACUUCACAUGCUUGUAUUUUGAAAUGCCCUAGCUCUCUCUCAUAUAUAUAUUGUACCUGGUCAUUAGUAAAAAAUAACACAAGAGUUUAUGAGUUUCUCUCUCAAGUUCAUCAUGAUUAUCUCAUACAAUUACUCGUAAACAUCUUAAUCUCUCUUAAACUCUCUUAAAUAUCUUAAUACCUUUCUUAUUCUGUAAAAUCAUAUGGUAUCACAGCCAGGUUGGCUUUGGUAUUGAGAUCUUGUGUUCUUCAGCUUCAUUCAAGUUUAUCUUUGUGUUCAGCGUAAAUCAAGAUGGGAGGCAACAGCAAGAUUGUUACGGUUCUGAUUUCACUCAAGGGUGGAGGAAACUACCUGUUGUGGUCAAGGCUGGUGAAGACAGCCAUUUGGAGGCUAGGGCUGUGGAGUCUCAUCACGGAUGAAGCUCCAAAGCCAGUGGCCGGUGAGGAAGAAGGUGGGAGAGAGCUCGCGGUUGUUGAUCAGAAGAAGUGGGUUCAAGAUGAUCUUAUGGUACUGUCCGCACUACAAGGGUCUCUUGAGGUUCAUCUAUUGGAAGCAUACAGCUAUUGCGAGACUCCUAAACAUCUGUGGGAGACACUCCAAAAGACAUUUGGGAACAUUACCAAUCUGAGCAGUGUGUUUGAAAUCAAGCGAGAUAUCAACAUACUUGUGCAAGAUGGAGAGAAGUUCACCAAGAAUUUGGGCAAGUAUAGAUCAUUGUGGUCUGAGCUUGAAACCUUGAGGCCUAGCACAACUUAUCAAGAGGUGCUGAUGGAGAGGCGUGAGCAAGAUCAAGUGUUUGGACUGCUGUUGACAUUGGAUUCUCCGUUCAAUGAUGUGAUCAAGCACAUACUGAGGUCGCCAAAUCUCCCAUCCAUGGAGGAGGUGUGUGCACAGAUUCAAAAGGAGGAGGGAUCUCUUGGUCUCUUUGGAAGUAAAGGAGACCUAUCAUUGGCCAAUAAGGCUGAGGAAGUGGCACUGGCAAACCGUGCAACAUACAGAUCAGAUGACAUGAAGUAUAGUGUUGAGAGGAGGUUUGGAGGCAACUGUGAUCACUGUAAGAAACCGGGAGACAAGAGGAGCCAAUGCUGGAUCCUACACCCACAUCUUAAGCCAGCCAAGUUCAACAAGGAUAGAGAGGCUAGUGCUAACCUGUCUGCUGAAGCAAGUGACGCCGGUCCAUCAGGAGCUGGCUCAAGUGAACACGCGGGUGAAAGCGCAUCAAGAGCCAUGGCCUCUCAUUACACGGCUGGGAAGAGCAUGGAACAUGAGGUGAUCAGGAAAUCCGACAUCGUUGCCCUCAUCAAAGCUCUUAAGGAGUCUGGUACAUUCGGAAACACUCUUGGAUACUCAUAUACUGCUCAUGCUAUGACUAAAUGUGAUAAUAGGUUGAUAGAUAUCAUUGAUGAAUUAAAACUUAGAAAUGAAUCACCUAGAACUCACAUUGUUCAAGGGAUAAAACCGUUGAUUGUAGAUUCAGGUGCUUCUCAUCAUAUGAUAAGUGAUGAUAGUCUUAUAAAAAACAUAGAACCACAUGGACAUGUAAUAAUUGCAAACGGGGAUAGAAUUCCUAUUAGAGGAUAGGAAACUUGAACCUGUUUGAUAAGAACUCUAAAGCCUUUUACAUGCUUGAGUUUACUUCUAACCUCUUAUCUGUUAAGAGAUGUACUACUGAUCUACAAUGCAAUGUUAUCUUCAGUCCUAAUGAUGUGAAAUUUCAGGAUAUUGGGAGCAGUAAGUUGAUUGGACAACGUGUAGCCAAGGGAGACCUUUACAUGCUUGAAGACAUUAAAUUUAUUUCUACUUCUAGUUGCCUGCUUAGUUAUGUUUCAAAUGGUGCAUUGUGGCAUUCUAGGUUAGGAGAUCCAGUUUAUGUAUCCAUAUCAAGCUUCUUACAAAGUGAUUCAUCCUGGUUCGAUUGGAACAACGAAGAAGUUGUCUUAUUCCCAAAUUGGAAAACUGGAAUCAACUGAUUUGAAAGUGGGAUAACUUCUUCUUCCCAGCUUCUAUGAGAUUUUUUUCAACUUCCUGGUCAUUCUCCACCACUUUAUGUAUCCAGAUCAAGCUUCUUAUAAAGUGAUUCAUCCUGGUUCGAUUGGAACGACGAAGAAGUUGUCAUAUUCCCUAACUGGGAAACUGGAAUCAACUGAUUUGAAAGUGGGAUAACUUCUUCUUCCCAGCUCCUAUGAGAUUUUUUUCAACUUCCUGGUCAUUCUCCACCACUUUAUGUAUCCAUAUCAAUCUUCUUACAAAGGGAUUCAUCCUAGUUCGAUUGGAACGACGAAGAAGUUGUCUUAUUCCCAAACUGGGAAACUAGAAUCAACUGAUUUGAAAGUGGGAUAACUUCUUCUUCCCAACUCCUAUGAGAUUUAUUUAACUUCCUGGUCAUUCUCCACCACUUUAUGUAACCAUAUCAGGCUUCUUACAAAGUGGUUCAUCCUAGUUCGAUUGGAACGAUGAAGAAGUUGUCUUAUUCCCAAACUGGGAAACUAGAAUCACCUGAUUUGUAAAAAGGGAUAACUUCUUCUUCCCUACUCCAAUGAGAUUUAUUCAACUUCCAGGUGAUUCUCCACCACUUUAUGUAUCCAAAUCAAGCUUCUUACAAAGUGAUUCAUCCUGGUUCGAUUUGAACAACGAAGAAGUUGUCUUAUUCUCAAACUGGGAAACUGGAAUCAACUGAUUUGAAAGUGGGAUAACUUCUUCUUCCCAGCUCCUAUGAGAUUUUUUUCAACUUUCUGGUCAUUCUCCACCACUUUAUGUAUCCAUAUCAAGCUUCUUACAAAGUGAUUCAUCCUGGUUCGAUUGGAACGACGAAGAAGUUGUCUUUUUCCCAAACUGGGAAACCGGAAUCAACUGAUUUGAAAGUGGGAUAACUCCUUUUUCCCAACUCCUAUGAGAUUUUUUUUCAACUUCCUGGUCAUUAUACACCACUUUAGGUAUCAAUAUCAAGCUUCUUACAAAGUGAUUCAUCCUAGUUCGAUUGGAACGACGAAGAAGUUGUCUUAUUCCCAAAUUGGGAAACUGGAAUCAACUAAUUUGAAUGUGGGAUAACUUCUUCUUCUCAGCUCCUAUGAAAUAUUUUUCAACUUCCUGGUCAUUCUGCACCACUUUAGGUAUCCAUAUCAAGCUUCUUACAAAGAGAUUCAUCCUAGUUCGAUUGGAACGAUGAAGAAGUUGUCUUACUCCCAAACUGGGAAAGUAGAAUCACCUGAUUUGUAAAAAGGGAUAN
rnacentral:lncRNA from 1 species